rnacentral:rRNA from 1 species
GACGAACGCUGGCGGCGUGCCUAAUACAUGCAAGUAGAACGCUGAAGGAGGAGCUUGCUUCUCCGGAUGAGUUGCGAACGGGUGAGUAACGCGUAGGUAACCUGCCUGGUAGCGGGGGAUAACUAUUGGAAACGAUAGCUAAUACCGCAUAAGAGUAGAUGUUGCAUGACAUUUGCUUAAAAGGUGCAAUUGCAUCACUACCAGAUGGACCUGCGUUGUAUUAGCUAGUUGGUGGGGUAACGGCUCACCAAGGCGACGAUACAUAGCCGACCUGAGAGGGUGAUCGGCCACACUGGGACUGAGACACGGCCCAGACUCCUACGGGAGGCAGCAGUGGGGAAUCUUCGGCAAUGGACGGAAGUCUGACCGAGCAACGCCGCGUGAGUGAAGAAGGUUUUCGGAUCGUAAAGCUCUGUUGUAAGAGAAGAACGAGUGUGAGAGUGGAAAGUUCACACUGUGACG